rnacentral:rRNA from 1 species
CCUACGGGAGGCUGCAGUGGGGAAUAUUGGACAAUGGGCGAAAGCCUGAUCCAGCCAUGCCGCGUGUGUGAAGAAGGCCUUCGGGUUGUAAAGCACUUUCAGUGGGGAAGAAAGCCUUGGGGCUAAUACCCUCGAGGAAGGACAUCACCUACAGAAGAAGCACCGGCUAACUCCGUGCCAGCAGCCGCGGUAAUACGGAGGGUGCGAGCGUUAAUCGGAAUUACUGGGCGUAAAGCGCGCGUAGGCGGUCUGAUAAGCCGGUUGUGAAAGCCCCGGGCUCAACCUGGGAACGGCAUCCGGAACUGUCAGGCUAGAGUGCAGGAGAGGAAGGUAGAAUUCCCGGUGUAGCAGUGAAAUGCGUAGAGAUCGGGAGGAAUACCAGUGGCGAAGGCGGCCUUCUGGACUGACACUGACGCUGAGGUGCGAAAGCGUGGGUAGCAAACAGGAUUAGAUACCCGAGUAGUC